CGCAAAAACUGCGGCUUGGAUGCAGACCAAAACAAUGGUCGUGUGCAUGAGGCCUAAGAAGCAAUAACUUGCUGGAUGUUGUGUUCUUGACAGAAGCCAUGGUCUUCUAAAUGCUUCAUCUCUUGGUUCAUCUUCGCUCGGCUUAUGCACAUGACCUCAUCAUGGCCCUGUACAACUUCUUUGUGUGUAGUUAUUAAUGAGCACCUAUAGAAGUCCAUAGGGCCAUACUGUACCUCCAAUCAGCUCAGAUUUCAAAUCAUACAGAAAAAGGUGAAAUGCUGGAGUAUUAUGGAGAUCUUUUACUUCUACUGGAGAACAUCUCCAUGACACUGUGCUGUAUAGAGACUGCUGUGUGCCGCCAUAGAGGAUAUGGGGCAUGUCUUAUAGGAGAGCAACAAAGUGAAGUGACCCCAAGUCACCGGCAACGAGUCAGAUCUUUAGAAUAUUAGAAUAAACACUUUUGCUUUACAAUGACAUGAAUGGAGUUGGGUCACAAGAUAUUACAAAAAAAUUAAAAUAGCAAUUCUCUUAUACAGCAAUAUAGAUGUAUAAUAAAAUACACACACACUUGAGGAAAUCAGCUCUUCAAAACUGACGGGCUAAAUUGAUAGAGUUGCAAAAGCCAAAUGGUUUUAGAGGCAUGGAGACGCAAUAAUUAAACCAUACAAAUCUUUAAUCUUCAAAGUCACUUUGAUUUUUAAAGCUGAAUUAAAUCUUAAAACCGACUUAAAAUUCAGAGUCUGAUCUUAUUAUUAAAGCCCAGAAUAAAUUAUUAUUAUUUUUUUUUUUU